AUGCAUUCGACACUUUCUCAACAAGUUCUUAAAAUGUUCCCAAGCCUCGUACAAACUUUCAUCUUCUAGUUGUUUGAAAGAUGUCAAGUUAUUUCGUAGCUU